rnacentral:rRNA from 1 species
GUGGAGUGGUGAAAAUGCGUUGAUAUCAAUCGGAACGCCAAUGGAGAAGUCAAGCGACUGGGUCUGUUCUGACGCUGAGGUACGAAAGCGUGGGUAGCGAACGGGAUUAGAUACCCCGGUAGUCCACGCCGUAAACGAUGUGCACUAGGUCGAGGGCGUUCUGACGCGACUCUCGGCCGAAGCGAAAGUGUUAAGUGCACCGCCUGGGGAGUACGGUCGCAAGGCUAAAACUCAAAGGAAUUGACGGGGGCUCACACAAGCGGUGGAGCAUGUGGCUUAAUUCGAAGCAGCGCGAAGAACCUUAUCCUAGGUUUGACAUACACGGAUUAGCUAUAAGAAACUAUAGUGACACCUUCGGGUGGAACGUGAACAGGUGCUGCAUGGCUGUCGUCAGCUCGUGCUGUGAAGUGUCGGGUUAAGUCCCUUAACGAGCGCAACCCUUAUCGUUAGUUGCUAACAGGUAAUGCUGAGGACUCUAGCGAGACUGCCGGUGUUAAACCGGAGGAAGGUGGGGAUGACGUCAAGUCCGCAUGGCCUUUAUGCCUAGGGCUGCACACGUGCUACAAUGGCAAGUACAGAACGAUGCAAUACCGCGAGGUGGAGCAAAUCGCUAAAGCUUGCCCCAGUUCGGAUUGCAGGCUGCAACUCGCCUGCAUGAAGUUGGAAUCGCGUAGUAAUCGCGGAUCAGCAUGCCGCGGUG